GAGAGAGACAUGCGCUCAUAUCAAUAAGCGGAGGAAAAGAAACUAACUAGGAUUCCCUCAGUAACGGCGAGUGAAGCGGGAAGAGCUCAAAUUUGAAAUCUUAAAGGUUUCCCUUGACGAAUUGUAGUUUAAAGAAGUGUUUUCUGUUGGAGUUUUGGUAAAAGUUCUUUGGAAUAGGACAUCAUAGAGGGUGAGAAUCCCGUAUUUGACCAUUAUUUCCAGCUUUGUGAUACACUUUCAAAGAGUCGGAUUGUUUGGGAAUGCAGUCCAAAAUGGGUGGUAAAUUUCAUCUAAAGCUAAAUACUGGCGAGAGACCGAUAGCGAACAAGUACCGUGAGGGAAAGAUGAGAAGGAACUUUGAAAAGAGAGUUAAACAGUACGUGAAAUUGUCAAAAGGGAAGCGUUUGACACCAGUGUUGUUUUCUCGAAAAUCAAUUAAAAAAGGCAGGAUUUUGUGUUGUAUUGACUUUAUCAGCUUUCUGCACUCUUUUCUUGUCUUUUUUAAUGCACUUUUCGUUUAACAAGUCAACAUCAAUUUCUUUUGUUGUAAAAGGGUCAUUGGAAGGUGGCUUUCUUUUCGGAGAAAGUGUUUAUAGCCUUUGGCCUCUGCAAUCGGAGAGAUUGAGGUCUGCAGCGUAGAUCCUUCGGGGUUAGAUACAUUUGUGCUAAGUUAUAGCCUUUCAUAGACAACUUGUUGACUAUGAUCAGUCAUGUAGCUUACUCGCUUAUGCUAUUUUACCUACGCUUAGGAUGUUGAUGUGAUACUGCGAGCA
rnacentral:rRNA from 1 species